CUUGCUUAUGUGUUUUCUCCACGUGGACCCCAGUGAAGGAGGGAGAAGUGUGCUUGUUCUGUCUAGCUUUGAUUUUGUGGAACAGGUAAUUGAAGAGGAUCAGGGUGCUACAUAAACUACAAGCAAUGAUGGAAUCAGGGAGACCAGUUAAAUGACUAAUGCAGACUGGGUCUCACUACAUUGGCCAGGCCGGAUUUGAAUUCCUGGGCUCAGCCUCCCGAGUAGCUGGGACUACAAGCAUGUACCACCAUGCCCAGUUUUCUGCAGCAGUUUUUAUAAACCAAAUUUUCCAAAUUAGAAAGACUGACCAAAGAAGCACUUUUAUACGAGGAAUAACUUACGUAUGGAGAAUCUCAACUUGGACCAG
rnacentral:lncRNA from 10 species